AUUGAACGCUGGCGGCAGGCCUAACACAUGCAAGUCGAGCGGAUGAAGGGAGCUUGCUCCUGGAUUCAGCGGCGGACGGGUGAGUAAUGCCUAGGAAUCUGCCUGGUAGUGGGGGAUAACGUAAGGAAACGGGCGCUAAUACCGCAUACGUCCUGAGGGAGAAAGUGGGGGAUCUUCGGACCUCACGCUAUCAGAUGAGCCUAGGUCGGAUUAGCUAGUUGGUGGGGUAAAGGCCUACCAAGGCGACGAUCCGUAACUGGUCUGAGAGGAUGAUCAGUCACACUGGAACUGAGGCACGGUCCAGACUCCUACGGGAGGCAGCAGUGGGGAAUAUUGGACAAUGGGCGAAAGCCUGAUCCAGCCAUGCCGCGUGUGUGAAGAAGGUCUUCGGAUUGUAAAGCACUUUAAGUUGGGAGGAAGGGCAGUAAGUUAAUACCUUGCUGUUUUGACGUUACCAACAGAAUAAGCACCGGCUAACUUCGUG
rnacentral:rRNA from 1 species